rnacentral:rRNA from 1 species
AUACGUAGGUGCCAAGCGUUAUCCGGAUUUACUGGGCGUAAAGGGCGUGUAGGCGGUCUUGCAAGUCAGAAGUGAAAUUCCUGAGCUCAACUCGGGCGCUGCUUCUGAAACUGCAGGACUUGAGUGCUGGAGGGGAUAGCGGAAUUCCUAGCGGAGCGGUAAAAUGCGCAGAUAUUAGGAAGAACACCGGUGGUGAAGGCGGAUAUCUGGACAUUAACUGACGCGGAGGCGCGAAAGCGUGGAGAUCAGACAGGAUUAUAUACCCUGGUAGUCCACACUGUAAACGAUGAAUGCUAGGUGUAAGAGGUAUCGACCCCUUUUGUGCCGGAGUCAACACAAUAAGCAUUCCGCCUGGGGAGUACGGCCGCAAGGUUGAAACUUAAAGGAAUUGACGGGG